AGGGUAUAGACCCGAAACCCGGUGAUCUAGCCAUGGGCAGGUUGAAGGUUGGGUAACACUAACUGGAGGACCGAACCGACUAAUGUUGAAAAAUUAGCGGAUGACUUGUGGCUGGGGGUGAAAGGCCAAUCAAACCGGGAGAUAGCUGGUUCUCCCCGAAAGCUAUUUAGGUAGCGCCUCGUGAACUCAUCUGUGGGGGUAGAGCACUGUUUCGGCUAGGGGGUCAUCCCGACUUACCAACCCGAUGCAAACUACGAAUACCACAGAAUGUUAUCACGGGAGACACACGGCGGGUGCUAACGUCCGUCGUGAAGAGGGAAACAACCCAGACCGCCAGCUAAGGUCCCAAAGUCACAGUUAAGUGGGAAACGAUGUGGGAAGGCCCAGACAGCCAGGAUGUUGGCUUAGAAGCAGCCAUCAUUUAAAGAAAGCGUAAUAGCUCACUGGUCGAGUCGGCCUGCGCGGAAGAUGUAACGGGGCUAAACUGUGCACCGAAGCUGCGGCAGCGACACUGUGUGUUGUUGGGUAGGGGAGCGUUCUGUAAGCCGUUGAAGGUGGUCUGUGAGGACUGCUGGAGGUAUCAGAAGUGCGAAUGCUGACAUAAGUAACGAUAAUGCGGGUGAAAAACCCGCACGCCGGAAGACCAAGGGUUCCUGUCCAACGUUAAUCGGGGCAGGGUGAGUCGACCCCUAAGGCGAGGCCGAAAGGCGUAGUCGAUGGGAAACAGGUUAAUAUUCCUGUACUUGGUGUUACUGCGAAGGGGGGACGGAGAAGGCUAUGUUAUCCGGGCGACGGUCGUCCCGGUUUAAGCGUGUAGGUGUGUGGACCAGGCAAAUCCGGUUCACUUUAACACUGAGGCGUGAUGACGAGGCACUACGGUGCUGAAGUAACAAAUGCCCUGCUUCCAGGAAAAGCCUCUAAGCAUCAGGUAACAUCAAAUCGUACCCCAAACCGACACAGGUGGUCAGGUAGAGAAUACCAAGGCGCUUGAGAGAACUCGGGUGAAGGAACUAGGCAAAAUGGUGCCGUAACUUCGGGAGAAGGCACGCUGACAUGUAGGUGAAGCCCCUGCGGGUGGAGCUGAAGUCAGUCGAAGAUACCAGCUGGCUGCAACUGUUUAUUAAAAACACAGCACUGUGCAAACACGAAAGUGGACGUAUACGGUGUGACGCCUGCCCGGUGCCGGAAGGUUAAUUGAUGGGGUCAGCGCAAGCGAAGCUCCUGAUCGAAGCCCCGGUAAACGGCGGCCGUAACUAUAACGGUCCUAAGGUAGCGAAAUUCCUUGUCGGGUAAGUUCCGACCUGCACGAAUGGCGUAAUGAUGGCCAGGCUGUCUCCACCCGAGACUCAGUGAAAUUGAACUCGCUGUGAAGAUGCAGUGUACCCGCGGCAAGACGGAAAGACCCCGUGAACCUUUACUAUAGCUUGACACUGAACAUUGAGCCUUGAUGUGUAGGAUAGGUGGGAGGCUUUGAAGUGUGGACGCCAGUCUGCAUGGAGCCAACCUUGAAAUACCACCCUUUAAUGUUUGAUGUUCUAACGUAGACCCGUCAUCCGGGUUGCGGACAGUGUCUGGUGGGUAGUUUGACUGGGGCGGUCUCCUCCCAAAGAGUAACGGAGGAGCACGAAGGUUAGCUAAUCCUGGUCGGACAUCAGGAGGUUAGUGCAAAGGCAUAAGCUAGCUUGACUGCGAGAGUGACGGCUCGAGCAGGUGCGAAAGCAGGUCUUAGUGAUCCGGUGGUUCUGAAUGGAAGGGCCAUCGCUCAACGGAUAAAAGGUACUCCGGGGAUAACAGGCUGAUACCGCCCAAGAGUUCAUAUCGACGGCGGUGUUUGGCACCUCGAUGUCGGCUCAUCACAUCCUGGGGCUGAAGUAGGUCCCAAGGGUAUGGCUGUUCGCCAUUUAAAGUGGUACGCGAGCUGGGUUUAGAACGUCGUGAGACAGUUCGGUCCCUAUCUGCCGUGGGCGCUGGAGAACUGAGGGGGGCUGCUCCUAGUACGAGAGGACCGGAGUGGACGCAUCACUGGUGUUCGGGUUGUCAUGCCAAUGGCAUUGCCCGGUAGCUACAUGCGGAAGAGAUAAGUGCUGAAAGCAUCUAAGCACGAAACUUGCCCCGAGAUGAGUUCUCCCUGAGACUUAAAGUCUCCUGAAGGAACGUUGAAGACGACGACGUUGAUAGGCCGGGUGUGUAAGUGCAGCGAUGCAUUGAGCUAACCGGUACUAAUGAACCGUGAGGCUUAACCUUACAACGCCAAAGAUGUUUUGGUGUGAAGAGAGAGACGAUAUUCAGCUUGUU
rnacentral:rRNA from 1 species